UCCUUAACUGACGCUAAUGCUCGAAAGUGCGGGUAUCGAACAGGAUUAGAUACCCUGGUAGUCCGCACGGUAAACGAUGGAUGCCCGCUGUUGGCGAUAUAUUGUCAGCGGCCAAGCGAAAGCGUUAAGCAUCCCACCUGGGGAGUACGCCGGCAACGGUGAAACUCAAAGGAAUUGACGGGGGCCCGCACAAGCGGAGGAACAUGUGGUUUAAUUCGAUGAUACGCGAGGAACCUUACCCGGGCUUGAACUGCCAGAGAACGACGGAGAGAUCCUGAGGCCCUUCGGGGCUCUGGUGGAGGUGCUGCAUGGUUGUCGUCAGCUCGUGCCGUGAGGUGUCGGCUUAAGUGCCAUAACGAGCGCAACCCUUUUCGCUAGUUGCCAUCAGGUUAUGCUGGGCACUCUGGCGAUACUGCCACCGUAAGGUGUGAGGAAGGUGGGGAUGACGUCAAAUCAGCACGGCCUUGACGUCCGGGGCUACACACGUGUUACAAUGGGUGGUACAGAGAGUCGGCCGUCUGCAAAUGCGGUCCAAUCAAUAAAGCCAUCCUCAGUUCGGAUUGGGGUCUGCAACCCGACCCCAUGAAGCUGGAUCGCUAGU
rnacentral:rRNA from 1 species